CCUACGGGUGACAGCAGUCGAGAAUCAUUCACAAUGGGCGAAACCCUGAUGCUGCGACGCCGCGUGGGUGAAUGAAGGUCUUCGGAUUGUAAACCCCUGUCAUGUGGGAGCAAAUUAAAAAGAUAGUACCACAAGAGGAAGAGACGGCUAACUCUGUGCCAGCAGCCGCGGUAAUACAGAGGUCUCAAGCGUUGUUCGGAAUCACUGGGCGUAAAGCGUGCGUAGGCGGUUUCGUAAGUCGUGUGUGAAAGGCCCGGGCUCAACCCGCGGACGGCACAUGAUACUGCGAGACUAGAGUAAUGGAGGGGGAGGCGGAAUUCUCGGUGUAGCAGUGAAAUGCGUAGAUAUCGAGAGGAACACUCGUGGCGAAGGCGGGUUCCUGGACAUUAACUGACGCUGAGGUACGAAGGCCAGGGGAGCGAAAGGGAUUAGAUACCCCUGUAGUC
rnacentral:rRNA from 1 species